rnacentral:rRNA from 1 species
AACGAACGCUGGCGGCAUGCCUAACACAUGCAAGUCGAACGAGACCUCCGGGUCUAGUGGCGCAUGGGUGCGUAACGCGUGGGAACCUGCCCUUAGGUUCGGAAUAACUCCCCGAAAGGGGUGCUAAUACCGGAUAAUGUCUUCGGACCAAAGAUUUAUCGCCCUUGGAUGGGCCCGCGUUGGAUUAGCUAGUUGGUAGGGUAAAAGCCUACCAAGGCGACGAUCCAUAGCUGGUCUGAGAGGAUGGUCAGCCACACUGGGACUGGGACACGGCCCAGACUCCUACGGGAGGGAGCAGUGGGGGAUAUUGGACAAUGGGCGGAAGGCUGAUCCAGCAAUGCCGCGUGAGUGAUGAAGGCCUUAGGGUUGUAAAGCUCUUUUACCCGGGAUGAUAAUGACGGUACCGGGAGAAUAAGCUCCGGCUAACUCCGUG